UGCAGUCGAACGAUGAUGCCCAGCUUGCUGGGUUGAUUAGUGGCGAACGGGUGAGUAACACGUGAGUAACCUGCCCCUGACUCUGGGAUAAGCGUUGGAAACGACGUCUAAUACUGGAUAUGAUCACUGGUCGCAUGGCCUGGUGGUGGAAAGAUUUUUUGGUUGGGGAUGGACUCGCGGCCUAUCAGCUUGUUGGUGAGGUAAUGGCUCACCAAGGCGACGACGGGUAGCCGGCCUGAGAGGGUGACCGGCCACACUGGGACUGAGACACGGCCCAGACUCCUACGGGAGGCAGCAGUGGGGAAUAUUGCACAAUGGGCGAAAGCCUGAUGCAGCAACGCCGCGUGAGGGAUGACGGCCUUCGGGUUGUAAACCUCUUUUAGUAGGGAAGAAGCGAAAGUGACGGUACCUGCAGAAAAAGCACCGGCUAACUACGUGCCAGCAGCCGCGGUAAUACGUAGGGUGCAAGCGUUGUCCGGAAUUAUUGGGCGUAAAGAGCUCGUAGGCGGUUUGUCGCGUCUGCUGUGAAAUCCCGAGGCUCAACCUCGGGCUUGCAGUGGGUACGGGCAGACUAGAGUGCGGUAGGGGAGAUUGGAAUUCCUGGUGUAGCGGUGGAAUGCGCAGAUAUCAGGAGGAACACCGAUGGCGAAGGCAGAUCUCUGGGCCGUAACUGACGCUGAGGAGCGAAAGCAUGGGGAGC
rnacentral:rRNA from 1 species